CAGCAGUAGGAAAUCUUCCACAAUGGACGAAAGUCUGAUGGAGCAACGCCGCGUGAGUGAAGAAGGUUUUCGGAUCGUAAAACUCUGUUGUAAGGGAAGAACAAGUACAGUAGUAACUGGCUGUACCUUGACGGUACCUUAUUAGAAAGCCACGGCUAACUACGUGCCAGCAGCCGCGGUAAUACGUAGGUGGCAAGCGUUGUCCGGAAUUAUUGGGCGUAAAGCGCGCGCAGGCGGUCCUUUAAGUCUGAUGUGAAAGCCCACGGCUCAACCGUGGAGGGUCAUUGGAAACUGGAGGACUUGAGUGCAGAAGAGGAAAGUGGAAUUCCAAGUGUAGCGGUGAAAUGCGUAGAGAUUUGGAGGAACACCAGUGGCGAAGGCGACUUUCUGGUCUGUAACUGACGCUGAGGCGCGAAAGCGUGGGGAGCAAACAGGAUUAGAUACCCUGGUAGUCCACGCCGUAAACGAUGAGUGCUAAGUGUUAGGGGGUUUCCGCCCCUUAGUGCUGCAGCUAACGCAUUAAGCACUCCGCCUGGGGAGUACGGUCGCAAGACUGAAACUCAAAG
rnacentral:rRNA from 1 species